GAGGAUGUGUGGAGUGGGGCGGGGCUUGCUUCCGCCGCGUAUUCGCUCGACGCCAUUUCGCGCAUUCGUCUGUUGGUCGGUGUCUGCUGAACGAGCUGGUACGGACUGUAUCCACAAAACAGUACAGCACCGAAUUUUAAUCAUUUUUAGUCUUAAACUCCCGUUUUUGAGGCAGCUUUUUUUUGAACCUCGUCAAUCCAAUCAGGCAGACAGACGACUCGACCUGAAUUACAGACAGAAUGGAGUGAGUUCUGACUAUUCACCCCCUGACAUCCCCUUCAGCACACUUAAAUAUCUUAAUAUGCACGUUAUGUGGCGGU